AUGAUAAUUGGCACCGAGGAUUGGCCACCUGUUCCGGCAGGAAAAAAAGGGGAAAAAUGGGCGGGAUUUAGAAGGAAGGAAAUUGCCACCAGUUCACACCGAAUCGGUGGGGAAAAUAUUAAUCCCGACGGUUCAAAACCGGUGGCUUUAAUAAAAAAAACUCGCCCCUCUUAUUUCUCUCUUUCCUCCUCGCUCUCUCUCUCCUCUCCGUUCAGAUAUUCUCUUAUUUCUCCCCCUUUCCUCUCUUUUUCUUCUCUACACCACUCUCGCUGCGCCACUCUCUAUUUUAUUCUUCUCUUUCCUUCUCACUUUUUUUCCUCUCCGUUCAGAUCUUUCUUUCUUUCACUGUCUUUCUUCGUUGUCGGUGGUGAAUGUUAUCGGUGGUGACGGUUCUCGCACCAUCGUAAUGGAGGGUCUAUUUCUUCACAUAAUCAAGCUGGUAUGGUGGUUGAUCUUUGCAAUGGUGGUUGAUCUCUUCACGAGUAAAGGUUUGGGACCUGGAGACUAUGCAAUGCCUCCACACCCUUGCUAAGCACUCUGAGGUUGUGAUGUCCGUGCUUUGUUGGGAGCAAUUUCUGCUUUCCUGCUCUUUGAACCAGACAUUUAAGAUUUGGGCUGCCACUAAAGCAGGAGAACUAGAGGUCACUUAUGAACACUAGGAGAAGCAUGUUGCAUAGUGGAAUUCUACAUUCAAUUUCAAAUGUAGGUUGUAUAAUGGAAUUCUACUUGGAAUGAGGGACUAGUGAAGCUAACUUGGCAAUGUUGCAGCUUCUGCUGUCCUGCCAAGGUUGCUGCUGCAGCUGCCCUGCCGUCAAGAAUUUUUAUGUGACUGAUUUUGUGAACCCGAAAUACCAUGAUAAAACCAGUUCAAGAGGUUCUUACUACUUGGGUUUGUAUUUUGAUUAUAAUUUCUGUAUUUAGUUAGAAUAUCUUUAUGUAUGAGUUUUUGUAUGAUUUUAUUAUGUUACUUAAUUAGGUGCUAUAAUCUCGAGCUAGAUCUGGACCUUCUAAAGGAUCCUUUUAACAUUGAUAAGAUUAAUUUUUUAAUGGAAUAAAGGAUAUAUAAAGGAUA